UACAUUUACAGAGCAAAAAAAUUUUAAUCGUAACAAUAAGUUGUGUUUGGAACAUUAUAAUGUAUACGGUAGCGAUCUUAGGAUGGUAAAUAAUAGAAGUCAUUAAAAAUAACUUCGUUGCACCACAUAUACAGUAGGCUAAUAGCAAAAUAGCUAUAAUUCAUUCUGUCGCAAAUAAGGUAACUAAUCAUGCAAGAUUCAGGGAAAUGCAAGAUUUCAGUAGUGAUAUGUUACCUAUAUUACACUAGCUCGCAACUAUUAAGCCAAUUUUAGUCAACAUAAUCAGACGAAGAACAGUGUUGCCAGAUUGGUUUGUUUUCCAGCCCAGUAAUUAUUUAAAAUCCACACAAAAUUAUACAAUAAACGGUCAGAUAUUAUCUAUAAUAAAACAAUACAACUUAAUUCAUAACAGCAUCAAUUGGGAAUCAUGUUUUAAUAUGAAAUUAUGAAUAAUUUAAUUGCUCUUUCAGAGAUUACAUAGGAGCCUACAAUUUACAUUGCAACUGUAAAAUUAUUUUCCAUUUCUGUCCUCUCCCUAAUAAUUUAAAAAUUCCACCUGCCCAAACCCUUUUUAUUGCACAUAGUAGCCUACAACCCAAAACCAACCAAAUGGGUGCAAAACUUCCCGUUUUACCAGACUGAUGAAGAAUACUGGUGAAAAUGUAAUAUGUAUUAAUCAAAAAGUUUUUUUCUCUCUCAUCAGGUCCUUUUAGUAUGUUUACCUUUGUAUUUGUUUUGUCUGGUCAUCUUUGUCUAUCUGUUUGUAUUUGUGCAUAUUUAGUCAUGACAAGGCCCAUAUCUGGUAAGCAGGAAAACUUUCCAUGUCUGCUUUGCAAGCUUGUCCACCAAAAAAAGUCAGGUCACUGGAUAGCCAGUGGGGGAAAUCUGUCCUUAAAAGCAGAAAUGCUGGGCGUAUAAUUAAUUCUGCCUGUAUUGCAGUAAGUGAAAGUGUUCAUAUUUCAAAUGAAGUGCGCAUGUUUUUCACAUAAUAUAAGACUAGCACUAGGGAUGCACCGAUACCACUUUUUAGGAAUAUGAGUACGAGUAUUUGCAUUUUAGUACUUGCUGAUACCGAUACCGAGUACUUAAUAAUAAUAAUAAAAUAAUAAAAAAAAACAUGAUUUAAAUUUACAGGUAACAGCUUUAGUCAUAUACUUUAACAAAAAAACAAGGGACUAGUUUUACAGUUUGUUGUAAACUCUGCCUCUUUGGACAACACAAGAGGCAUUAACCCCUAACACGCUGCUCAAACAUAGACAUUUCUCAGACCGUGGUAUCGAUCCAUGGUAUGGGGGGACUUUAAACGAGUACUUUAGAAAAUGUGGUAUUGAGGCCGAUACCAGUAUUGGUAUCGGUGCAUCCCUAACCAAUAUGGUCUGGCUUUUACAAACAUAGGCUUAUUUCAUACAUGGAAGAAUCCAUAUUUAGCUAAAUUGUGUUGAAGAGUAUCAAUAAGUUGUGUUCGCUGUCAAGUAUUAAGAAAGUUAUAAUGUCAAUGGGAGAAUGAGUCUGGAAUUAACCAUUGAUUGUAUACACCUUAUUUUUGAUGUAAAUGUUUGUGCCGCCAUCUUUAUGGUAUCGUAUUGCAAGGGACACGAGUGUGCUGUUUUGACUGUCUUUUUAAUGUUUAUUAUGAAAUUCAGGAAGACCGGUAUAAUUUUUACAGUUAGGGGUUGCCAUAAUAGCUGAUACAAACACAGUAAAUCUCUACAAAACAUAAUAUGUUGUGUAUGUAUGUGGCACACGUGCACUCAUGAUCUUUAUCCACACAUCCAUCCAGUAAAACCUUUCAUAGUGCUAGUGAACAAUAAACACAAUAAUUGUUCAAAAACAACUUCGAAAAUAAGGUUACAGUUCAAAAGUCAUAUGUUUUAUAAAAGAAUCUUUUAUGGUUACAGCUCAUUUACUUUUUCAUUUCAGGUGCGGAAACUUGAGGCUGUCGGAUACAAGUCAAUUGUAUUUACUGGGAAACGGGAUAAAAAGGACCUGCCGGAGAGCCUCGCCGUGGAGCUGCCGGAGAGCAUCGUCAUGGAACGGCCGGAGAAUCUCAACAAGGAGUCUUGAGGCUGUUGUCGAUAAAAUAACUGUGGAAUUGAUAAAUAAGGGGAAAGCUGAAUUGGAAGUUCACUGGUGACCGUGCUCUGUGUGUGGCAAAACCUGGGAUGACACAUGGGAGACUGCCAGCGAAUUCCAACACAAGUCCCACAUCCCAACCAGCUUUCAGCAUGACGGCCUACACCUUUUUAUUAUUAUCAAGCACCUUUCAAUUCUUUUUGAUUGUCUUUGCUUGCUGUUCUUUAUUAAAGUUUUUGCACAGUACCCAGUCUCUUUUAGUGUUUUUUGUUUUUAUGUUUUGAAUUUUGUAUUUUAAAAACUCUGUAUUUGUCAUGAACUACACAGCAGACAAGAGGUGUCCCAUGCAAGAUCAUAAGGUAGAGAGUUAGUGCUGUUUGUCAUAAUGAAAUUCCCAAAGGCUUUAUAUUUAAAGAGUUUUGGAGUGCAGUUUUAGUACAGGUAAGUCUACUUGAACUAUGAUAUGCCAGCCAGGAAUAAGUACCACAAAAACUAUUUUAAAAAGCUAUUUAAAUCCCCCUUAAAUUUUGUAGUCCUGAUUGAA